GAGAUCGAGGGUCAAUGGAUAACGCGUCUGACUACGAAUCAGAAGAUUCUAGGUUCGACUCCUGGCUGGCUUG
rnacentral:tRNA from 1 species